AUGGACUGGACCUGGAGAAUCCUCUUCUUGGUGGCAGCAGUCACAGAUGCCUACUCCCAGAUGCAGCUGGUGCAGUCUGGGGCUGAGGUGAAGAAGACUGGGUCCUCAGUGAAGGUUUCCUGCAAGGCUUCCGGAUACACCUUCACCUACCGCUACCUGCACUGGGUGCGACAGGCCCCCGGACAAGCGCUUGAGUGGAUGGGAUGGAUCACACCUUUCAAUGGUAACACCAACUACGCACAGAAAUUCCAGGACAGAGUCACCAUUACCAGGGACAGGUCUAUGAGCACAGCCUACAUGGAGCUGAGCAGCCUGAGAUCUGAGGACACAGCCAUGUAUUACUGUGCAAGAUA